rnacentral:antisense_RNA from 1 species
UGUGUGCUCGGCUGACUGCACGUCCAGCCUCGGGCCAGCUCGAGACGGCCACAUUGCCUGGUUGAAGAUGGCUGAGCGUAAAACAGAAUGCAAGUCAGCUGGAGCACGUACUACUGGAGGCAGAGCCCCAUAAGAAGGGGCCAAGAACCCGCACCCACCAAAAUCAAGAAGAAAGGCUGAACCCGGAGAGAAAAGGGAGCAACUGAUGUUGCCAUGCAGAUCCCUUGGUUGCUAUGAGAUGGUAACAUCACUCUGCCCCACCAUUGGCCAGUGCCUCCUCAGCUGCGGUGCCUCCCAGGCUGUGUGGUUCUCACGCGGGCCACUGACACAGAGCUGUUACUAUGGUGAACUUUACAAUUUCCUUUGAUUGGUGGAUUUCAGAAAUAGGCCAUCAGCGGAAUUCAUUAUAUUCAGCUAAGUAAAAAUGAAAAAUAAAUACUAUAGCUUUCCCCUCAUCACUAACAUGAAGGAAACGUGACCCUUCAUGACAUAAUAAAUCGCUGUUCGGUAACUUAGGAUCCUUCAGGGGACUGAAGCGGGAUGAUUCUCCUAUGCCAAAUUUGGGUGGGAAAGAUAUUCCCUGUAGCUUUGAGUCGACUCUUCAGAGUUAAGGGCAGUGGGCCAACCAGAGUUGGAACUUCAGAGUUGGGAGGAGGUGUGGGAUGGGGCAUGCAUUGAAAUGUAAACUCUAUUGUCUCUGAAGUGAUGGGUGAUGCUGGGGGCCUGAGUGUGGAGGGCAGUUUUACAUCUCAGGACAAUGUUUUCUCAGAUGCUCUUCCAGAAAGGAAAGCCAGGAGUACUCCUGGCUGGAGGCGGCAUGCCUGAGGUCAGAGUCAAAGUAGGGUUUGUGCUGUCUGAAUCCUUUCUCCCACUCUCCCCAGCCUGGCUCAGCUUCUCAGCUUCUCAGGUGGAUUGGUGAGUCCUGGCCAAUUAUGCUUCAGCUCAUCUCUACUCUCGGCAAAUAGGAAAAGGGAGUGAAGGACUGAGUUUUAACCCUUCUAAUUUCGUAACCUGACUCUCUAUAAGAAAAAGUAGGAGAAAGACUGAAGAACCCGAGAGAACAGGCCUCUGAGCCCAAGCCAAGCCAUCGCAUCCCCUGUGACUUGCACGUAUAUACGCCCAGAUGGCCUGAAGUAACUGAAGAAUCACAAAAGAAGUGAAUAUGCCUUGCCCCACCUUGACUGAUGACAUUCCACCACAAAAGAAGUGUAAAUGGCCGGUCCUUGCCUUAACUGAUGACAUUACCUUGUGAAAGUCCUUUUCCUGGCUCAUCCUGGCUCAAAAAGCACCCCCACUGAGCACCUUGCGACUCCCACUCCUGCCCACUGAGCACCUUGUGACCCCCACUCCUGUCCGCCAGAGAACAAACCCCCUUUGACUGUAAUUUUCCUUUGCCUACCCAAAUCCUAUAAAACGGCUCCACCCUUAUCUCCUUUUGCUGACUCUCUUUUCGGACUCAGCCCGCCUGCACCCAGGUGAUUAAAAGCUUUAUUGCUCACACAAA